AUGAGCAUAACCGAAAAUAACGACAACAGUAGCAAAACAAACAGACGAUUAUUAAAGAUUCAAGUUGAAAACCAAUGCUUCUGCAUGGCUAUCAUGCAAAUGGUGGUUGUGGCUUGCCUGGGGAUGAAGAAAGCUUCGGGGAGAAGCUCGGAACGACCGCGAAAAGAAUCACUGGAAAGGGUACUCCCUCGGAGGGGGCUGAUUAGGGGCAAGGGCAAAAUCAUCAUUUUUAGAAUGUUGAAACAUAGUGAAAACAGCACCAAAAGUUCGGGCUCGAAGAGACGAAGACGUGAGCGUUGGUUUCACCUCAAUCGGAGUUACGGUUGCGGAGAUAUGAGGUGUGGAAGAUCAGGGACUUUUCUGCAAAAAGAAUAUUCACAUACAGGUCCUUGA
rnacentral:rRNA from 1 species